rnacentral:rRNA from 1 species
GAUGAACGCUGGCGGCGUGCCUAAUACAUGCAAGUCGAGCGAACUGAUUAGAAGCUUGCUUCUAUGACGUUAGCGGCGGACGGGUGAGUAACACGUGGGCAACCUGCCUGUAAGACUGGGAUAACUUCGGGAAACCGAAGCUAAUACCGGAUAGGAUCUUCUCCUUCAUGGGAGAUGAUUGCAAGAUGGUUUCGGCUAUCACUUACAGAUGAGCACGCGGUGCAUUAGCUAGUUGGUGAGGUAAUGGCUCACCAAGGCAACGAUGCAUAGCCGAACGGAGAGCAGGAUCGGCCACUCUGGGACUGAGACACGGCCCGGACGCCUACUGGAGGCGGCAGUAGGGAAUCUUCCUCAAUGGACGAAAGUCUGACGGAGCAACGCCGCGUGAUUGAUGAAGGCUUUCGGGUCGUAAAACUCUGUUGUUAGGGAAGAACAAGUACGAGAGUAACUGCUCGUACCUUGACGGUACCUAACCAGAAAGCCACGGCUAACUGCGUGCCAGCCGCCGCCGUAAGAC